UACGGAGGGUGCAAGCGUUAUCCGGAUUCACUGGGUUUAAAGGGUGCGUAGGCGGUCGGGUAAGUCUGAUGUGAAAUCUCACAGCUUAACUGUGAAACUGCAUUGGAUACUAUUCGGCUAGAGAGUUGGAGGGGGACUGGAAUUCUUGGUGUAGCAGUGAAAUGCAUAGAUAUCAAGAGGAACACCAGUGGCGAAGGCGAGUCCCUGGACAACUUCUGACGCUGAGGCACGAAAGCUAGGGGAGCAAACAGG
rnacentral:rRNA from 1 species